rnacentral:tRNA from 1 species
UCCCUGGCAGUCCAGUGGUUAAGAUGCUGUGGUUUGAAUACAGAGGGCCCUGGUUCAAUCCCUGGUCGGGGAA